UAGGGAAUCUUCCGCAAUGGACGAAAGUCUGACGGAGCAACGCCGCGUGAGUGAAGAAGGAUUUCGGUUCGUAAAACUAUGUUGUUAGGGAAGAAAAAAUGUAUAGUAACUAUAUACAAAAGAGACGGUACCUAACCAGAAAGCCACGGCUAACUACGUGCCAGCAGCCGCGGUAAUACGUAGGUGGCAAGCGUUGUCCGGAAUUAUUGGGCGUAAAGCGCGCGCAGGUGGUUUAGAAAGUCUGAUGUGAAAGCCCACGGCUCAACCGUGGAGGGUCAUUGGAAACUAAUAAACUUGAGUGCAGGAGAGAAAAGUGGAAUUCCUAGUGUAGCGGUGAAAUGCGUAGAGAUUAGGAGGAACACCGGUGGCGAAAGCGGCUUUUUGGCCUGCAACUGACACUGAGGCGCGAAAGCGUGGGGAGCAAACAGG
rnacentral:rRNA from 1 species